CCCAGCUUUGAACUACCUUUGGGGAAGAUCUCACUGCACACGGGUUCUCACACAGCACACCCCGUCACACACAUGAACUCACACUGAGAACAUAUGAACACUACACACACGUUCUCACACAGCACACCCUGUCACACAUAUGAACUCACACUGAGAACACGGGCAUCACACAUAGGGACUCACGCACAGAGGACAUGUGAACACUACACACAUGUUCUCACACAGCACACGCCCCGUCACACCCAUGAACUCACACCGAGAACACAACAUCACACACAGGGACUCACGCACAGAGGACAUGUGAACACUACACACACGUUCUCACACAGCACACCCCGUCACACCCAUGAACUCACACCGAGAACACAUCACACACAGGGACUCACGCACAGAGGACAUGUGAACACUACACACACGUUCUCACACAGCACACACCCCGUCACACCCACACCCCCACAUGCGUAGACACACACAUCCUUACUCUGCGUGCAUCCCUGGCCUGGUGGACGGAAGAUCGAGCGCUCUGGGUGGACUUACGGCCACAGGACGGGGGCAGAGUCGGCAGGGAGGCCCCUCCGAGGCCCAGUGGGCCCCGCGCUGGCCCCGGCCGCAGACGCCCACCUGCUGCUGUGCUGGCUGCGGCGUGUGCCCCGGGCUCUGCGGCUGACCUGGCCUCCACGUCUCACCCAUGAAGCAGGCAUGAAAGGCUGGCCAGGUUGGCUAAAUGGGACCACAGCAGAAGCAUGAGCCCCAGAAUGUGCACGAAGGAAGAGAGAGCCGGGGGAGGUGGCGGGCUGGGUGUGCAGAGUGGGCCUGAGCUCCGGCCUCCUCCCUGGACGCCCUCCCGUGGCCGCAGCCAUCCCUGCACCCACUGGUGUGGCCUGACCCCUCACCCUGAGCCCACCCUUCGCGGCCACUAGGGAACCUCAGGAGAGGCCGCCGCGGUGGGGUGGGCGGAUUCCCCCGGAGCAGGCCCAGGCCCCUGCUCCUGAGCUCUCCUGCAGCGCCGCCUGCUGGCCACAGAGAGCCCACGUGCGCCAGCCGCCAGGCCUGGGCAUCUCCUCUCCUGCAGCGCCGCCUGCUGGCCACAGAGAACCCGC
rnacentral:lncRNA from 1 species